UCGGGAAUUUUGGGCAAUGGGCGAAAGCCUGACCCAGCAACGCCGCGUGAAGGAUGAAGUAUUUCGGUAUGUAAACUUCGAAAGAAUAGGAAGAAUAAAUGACGGUACUAUUUAUAAGGUCCGGCUAACUACGUGCCAGCAGCCGCGGUAAUACGAAGGGUGCAAGCGUUAAUCGGAAUUACUGGGCGUAAAGCGUGCGUAGAUGGUUUGUUAAGUCGGAUGUGAAAGCCCCGGGCUCAACCUGGGAACUGCAUCCGAUACUGGCAGACUAGAGUGUGGUAGAGGAUGGCGGAAUUCCCGGUGUAGCGGUGAAAUGCGUAGAGAUCGGGGAGGAACAUCCGUGGCGAAGGCGGCCAUCUGGACCAACACUGACGUUGAGGCACGAAAGCGUGGGGAGCAAACAGGAUUAGAUACCCCCGUAGUCCCUGAGCGGGCUGGCAAGGCGCAU
rnacentral:rRNA from 1 species